UUUUGAUGUAGUCCCAAUAGUUCAUUUUUGCUUUUGUUUCCCUUGCCUCAGGACACAUAUGUAGAAAAAUGUUGCUAUGGCUGAUGUCAGAUAAUUACUGCCUGUGUUCUCUUCGAGGAUUUUCAUAGUUUGAAGGCUCACAUUAAGAUCUUUAAUCCACUUUGAGUCAGGAACAACCUGUGUCUCCAUCUUGGUAAAAUUUUGUGUUUUUGUUUUUUGACUUGAAUACAACACAUGAUUAUUUUUUCCUUUUCAUAUUCCGAAUAUUGUAGAAAAAGUUAUCAACCCUAUGCUUAAAAGGAAAGCCAGUGGUAAGCUUAAUUUUAAAUUGGUUGUGAUUUCUGAAAACCCUGACUUUUUUUCUCUUCAUGAAGGACCUUGUAAAACUGCUAAAGUUGCAGGAGUCUAGGACUUAGGAUAAGCACCCGGCAGAGACAAACCGGUAUGAUAAGAACUCUGCUCUGAAAUUACUUGCUUUACUAUGGAUUUUCACUUUUUGGAAUACACUUGAAGGACUUGAUUAUUUGAGAAAUCAGAAUGAUCUCAGUACAAGACUUCUUCACUUAUAUCAUGCCCCUUAAGUUAGGCACCACUGUAUUCUGACAGACUUGUACUGCUUUUUCAGGGAGUGAACAUUCCAGCUUCCAGGUGUUUCUCAGCACAUACGGUCCCUUCCUUUAGUUUCAGUGUCUGUCAUGGUGAUACUGCACCACAGUGGAUCUGCUUUUUCCAGACUUCAGGUUGAAAGAUAGUUCUGAGAAUUUUCCCUAGUUGACAGUUAACUGUCAUUUAAAUGUUUUUCUAACCUAAAUUAUGCAAAGCUCGGAUUAUCUUCAGCCCUAAAUAUGGUUUAUUACAGGUUUGUAUUCCCUAUUGGUACUCAUUGCUCAUGCCAUAAUUGCUUUUCUUGCUAGAGUUAUAGAUUCGAAUUAUGGUCAUAAUACCUAGUUAUUCACGGAAAUGAAGAUAAAGUACGAGAGUAUGAUUAUCUCAAAAGAGGAUCCAAUAAUUAGGCUGUAGAAAAGCUAGGAUUGUUUCUAGAGGAGCUUUUGCCCAAAUAAGAACUCACAAGUUAGUAUCUUUAAGGUUUUACUUAUUCCUUUUAUAUUAAAAAGCAGCAACAGCAAAGCUCUGAGCACUAACUCUUCCUAGCUAUUUGCUGUUUUAAUCAUUUACACAGCUCUAGUGUCUGGAGAGAACUCAGGAUUGUACAGCUUUUGCUGAAUUAGUUUGGAUAAUUUGCAAUAAAACAAAAACCUCUGUUAAAAUUAAAUACUAAAUGGAGACGGGACUUUAGAAAACCCUGAGCAGAUAAAACCAUUUAAGCUGCAUAAGCAAAACUAAAUGUAACUUAUUUCAUGAACGUAAGUGAAACUUACUUUUUAUAAGUGCCUUUGACAAUUGUAAAGAAACUUAGUUAUUUUCCUAAAAAUUGCAUGAGAUAAUCACUUUAAACCAAUCCCCUGCCAUCUGGAUAUUUCCAUUUUAAAUAACCAAUCAUUGUAAAGGUUAACAACUUUUUCACUUUGAUUUUAUAAGUCAUCCUGUAAUUCUAUGCCCCUGAGCUUCAGAUCCAUUUUUAUUUUAUUUUUAUUUUUUUAAUGUUUAUUUUUGAGAGACAGACACGCAGAGAGCAUGAGCAGAGGAGGGGCAGAGAGAAAGAGAGGGAGACACAGAAUCUGAAGCAGGCUCCACGCUUGGAGCUGUCUGCACAGAGCCCGACACAGUGUUCGAACUCACGAAUGGUGAGAUCAUGACCUGAGCCAAAGUCGGACGCUUAACAGACUGAGCCCCCCAGGUGCCCCCAUUUUUAAUUUUAUAAGCUCCCAUGUUUUGAACUGUGUUAUAUGUACAAAAAUAUCUUACUACUCUUUGUUGAUUUGGUGGUUUUGAUACUCCUAGAUUUUUGACACCUUAAAAUGAGGUAGCUUCUUAAGUAAAAUGGAAAGAAAUUUUCCUUAAAAAUUCAUGCUGCUGAAAUUUAUACUGACUCCUUCCCUUCCUUCUCUUAUAGUUUCCUUCCUGGUUUACCUCCUAUAAUACAAUUCACAAGGUCAUUGUAUUAAAAUCAACAAUAAUUUUAUUAUAGUUUAAAUCAAAUUCAGGGUAAAAGUUAUAUACAAUUUUCAUAUCAGAAAAGAGGUAAAUAGGACAGUGUCAUUGCUAUUAGAACAAGAAGCAUUUAGGAGCAGAGUCCAGAUAACUGGUCAAAAGUCACACUUAAACAUGUUUUCUUUGACGCACUUUCAUUUGGCUAGUACUUUGCAUUCCUUACAAUCUGGCGUCACUCUCCUUUCUUACUAUGUUUUCAGAGUUUCAUACCAAAUCCAGAUUCAUACAUUCAUUCCAGAAAUAAAUAGCUUUUAUUAUGUAAGCAAAUAAUGUUGACCUGUAGCCAUGUGCCAAGUACUCUUUGCAGGGCUGAGGAUUUAAAGGUGAGCAAAACAGACCUGAUCUGAUCUGAUUUGAUUUGACCAAGAGCUGUAGUCUGGUGUGAACAAUCAAAUACUCUCAUGAAUAAGUAAUUAUUAAUUGCAGUACAGAUUUAAAGAAAAUAAAGGUGCUUUUUAGGCUAUGGAGUGAGGAUGUGGCACAUGAGCUGAUACAUGAAAGGUUUAAGAAUGAAAAGGUUGGAGGGGAGGAGGAAAAUUGGGCAGAUGAAACAUUAUACUCUCUUUCCAAAAGUAGGAGAGGGUAUGGGUAUUCAAGGAGUGGAAAGAAGACAGAGCUGUUAAAAGUGGAAAGAUGUAAAAGCAGAACAUAAUGAGGCUAUAAAUGGCAGGGAAUAGCAUGUUUGGGUUUUGGAAGGCCAUAUUAGGGACUUUCAUCUCUAGACUCAGAGCAUUUAUUGUAGGAGUAAUGGGAAGGUUUUGAAGAGGUACAAACAGGAAAAUGUCAAAUAAGAAUUUCAUUUGUUUAAAAAAGAUGAUUGCUGACACAGUGAGGAAAAUGAACUGGAGAGGAGCAAAAGAGAAGAGAGAAACUAGUUACACAUCUACUGCAAAAGUCGAGAGAGAUGAUGGCAGCAUGGACCAGGAUGGGGAUGGCAGGGAAGACAGAGCAAUGACAGAAAUCAAUGCUUGAGAAAGUACUUGAGUGGAUCUUCUUGUCCCUUUGGAAGAAGGAAUUUCAACACCCUCAACACAGCAAAAAUCUUGGAAAGUUAUCAGCCUUGAUUGAAGAUGAAAUGGUUUCUUCACAGAUGUGUUUGACUAUUGCUAAGCAUCUCAACAAAUCUUCAGCCUACAGACUUCCAAUCUAGAAAUGAUGUGGGGAUCAAGAAACUCGACUAUCAAGAAGGGAGGGUGUGGAAGAAGAGAGAUAGAGAAUAACACACAGACUCAUUUUUUAUUCCCUACCAACUUGUGACUGUUGACACAGAGGCUGCCUUUGCUGAAAUUUACCAUAUUGAGAUAACUGAUUUAUUGUAUCACCAAAGAAUACAUGGUGUGUUUAAUAUACAGGGAAGAAGUGGAGGUAAAGAAAUGGUCAGUGCCUACACAGAGCUGUCAAGAACUUGUGCUGCAAACCUCAUUUUGCCUUUUUUCCCCAUUCAGUAGGAACUCUGUGAAUAAGAGAAGCAUAGAAAUGAUACUAGUCUACUGCACACUCCUUCUUGAAUUGCCAUGCAAAUCUGUUCAUCAAAAUUACCGAGUAGAAUUAAAUCAUACAAUUAGACCUAAUCACCUAGGCCACAUCAUCACAGUUGAAACAUCUUAAACAUACCCAAGGUGAUCUAAUUUAAAAACUUGGCAUUUUGUGGGGAUCUAUUAACACUUUCCUAUUUGGAGGACACAGCAACUCCUUUACUCCACUCUUAUUAAAUAUUUAUAUGCAUGACAUCAGUGUUCUGAAAAUACCUUGUGUGUUAUAAAGCCAAUAUAUGGUUUCUCCAAAAGGAAAGCAUUAAAAUAAUUUGCUUAGAGAAAUUAGGGUUAUAGAUUUUUAAAUUAAUUUAACUCCACAUAUUUACUCUUAUAGAAAUGGGCACCAGAGUGAAAACAGGGAGAUAGGAAUCCAAGAUACUGAUGGUGACCAGGACCAAGGUGCCAUCAGGAAUGUACUGAAGUGAUUGGAUUCAAAAUAUAUAUUGCAGUCAAAGAAAUUGCUAAUGAAUAUAAUGUAGAAGAUGGGAAAAAAGAAUUCCUGAUUGAAGAAUUGGGAAAACUAGAGGUGCCUGGGUGGCUCAGUUGAUUAAGUUGCAGCUCUGAAUUUUGGUUCAGGUCAUGAUCUAAUGGAUUUUGAGUUUGAGCCCCUCAUGGGGCUCUGGGCUGACAAUGCAGAGCCUUCCUGGGAUUCUGUCUCUCCCUCUCUCUGCCCCUCCCUCACUUGCCCUCUCAAAAAUAAACACCCAUGGGGGGGAAAAAAAAGAAAUGGAAAAACUGAAACAAAUAAAAAUACUUUGGACCUUACACAUUUAUAAUCUCUCUGAAGAGAGAUUUUUCCCCCCCCAGAUCACUUCAUCCCACAAAGAAAACUCAAAGGUCUUCAGCAGGCUAUGGGCAAUUCAUUAAAGAAUGGCAAAAUCAUAGGGUAGUCUGAAGUACAUAUAUUAGAGACCUGGGUUCAGCUGUGUGAUCUUGAGGACACCAUCUAAACAUUCAGGCCUGUUGCCUCAGUUUAACAAAGGUCAAUGAUAAUGCUCUACAAAGCUUUCGUAAAGGUCAAAAGAGAUAAUGCCUGAAAAAAUGCCAUUUGAUGGAAGUUAAAGUUGUAUUAAUUGUGUCUUUUAACUUUUCUGUGUGUUUCUUAUCACAACGUCAUAUCCAAACAGGGUCUUUUAUAGCAUGCAGUUUAUUUGGAUCUAAACAUUUCAUUGAUAUUAAGAUAUAUAAUGUGUAAAAAAAUUACAUAUUAUGUUAUUAAU